GCUCGGCAAUGUACUAGACCAAGAAUUAAAAGCUCAUUCUCCCUCUUUUUCGCGAUAAUAUCGGACAAGAGACUACCCCUAGACGGCAACAUCCCGACGACGUUCAUUUGCGUGGUUUCAAUCGUACGGGUACGAUAAAAUUAAUCCUCGUGAUUUUGCCAUGAAAUUAUAACAUUUUUCGCUGAAUUCGAAAGGACAAAGGGUCGCCGAAUAUUUGGGAUUUAUUGUAACAUGGGACAAAAGCUAUUUUUGUUAUCAUGACGAAGGGAAUCAGUGAAUUGGAAAAAAUAUAUGGAGCCUCUUGGCUUUUUUUUCUUUCUCAACUUGAAAAUAAAUGCGGGGGGUAAUUCUGUGCAACAUUAGCCCACUCGACUUCCAGACAACAUCCGAAGACGACAUGUGUGGAGAGCUCGGAGCAUCUGGGUUGCAAGACCCCGGGAAAGAAUUGACAUCAUAUGAUAUCCGGAAGAAUUGACCCAGUUGCCUAUUAAGCUAUCGGCAAGAGUAGCAAGGAGUGGCCACUACAAACGGGGGAUUCUAUUUCGAGUUCGCCUGCUCUAUGUUUAGCCGGAGCGCGGACACUCCCUAUAAGUUCAAGCGUCAGAUUAUGAACCCCACCAGCUGCCUCAUCGCCGAGCAACUCUGGCGUGGGGUCGAGAAGACAGAGAUGAGAAUGACGACUGCACGUGCCAAAAUUAUGCCCCAACAAAAACACCGAGAAACACCCGAAAUCCGGCCAAAGACCUCAAAGACAGUCAAAGGUCCCUAAUUGCGGACGCCCACUGAAAUUUCCAUAUUACACGCCCUCAACAGACUAAUUACCCCCGGAAAAAAACUAAAAGAAAAAAAAUGAAAAAUCAUUCCGAACACAGACUCGGCCAAAAUCAUUUCUUUUUCUUCCAAUUAAAUUUCUAAUUGAUCACUGACUUCAUCACUGACUCUAGUUUCUUGUAAACAAAUCACCCGGAAAAUAAAAUCGCGUGAAGGCACUCCAUCAUCACCGGUGUUAAUGAAAAUUUCAAUAACUCGAUACUCGAACCGUCGGUGGGAAAUAUGAUUAUGGAAUAUUAAUUGUACGUACCGUGGCACGGGACAGAGUGUUGUGGCGUCUGUGCCUGAACGGCGUCCCGACGUCCAAUAUAUGCUCUCGUCCCUACGCCCCCGCAUUUCCGUACGACAACGUCUUCCCCAACAGGCACGAAAAAGGCGUGAGUCGCGGAACGUCGCGACGCCUCACCGAACUAGGCGGCCCUAUCCUGGAUUCGCCACCUUUUUUUCUCCUCUCGCUACCCCAAAAUUAAAGAAUUUUCAUCAUCAGGCUUUCACUCUUGGCUCACCAUGAAAUUAUAUCUAUUCAAACAAAAAAAAUAUAAAUAAAUUGCUCUAAUUGAGACUCGAAGAACUGCUAAAUUCAUUCGUUUCAGUAGUUCGGAAUAAAUUAUUUAUGAAAUCAGAGCAAUAAUCUCUGGCCAAUCGUCAGAAUAAAAAUUCGCUUCUUCAAUUGUUACGUCAUUGGCAUACCAAAUACUAUUGGAAUUUUUUAUAACCAUUGUUGUGUGAAAAUUUAUGAGACAGAGGAAACGUCACCGAGAAAUUAUGGAUUUAAAGAUCGUUUGAAUCUCGAAAAUAGGUUAAUUAAUUUUUUUAUCCAUUUGACAUGAAUUCUUAUAAUAAUAUGUAACCGGUCGUCAAAAUAAAAAUUUGUAUCUUAAUUAUUGCGUCAUCAACGCACUGAAAAUUCUAUUAUGAAAACGCAUCAAUCGACAGUUGAUCAAACCCAUGAGAAUGAAUUGUGUCAGAUGAUUGGGAAAUCACGCGGAGACGUAAAUAAAAAAUUCCAAGGGGUGAAGAGAUACUCUGGAGGCAUUAGAAUUAGUCCAGUGAAAAAAUAGAUGACCCGGAGAAUACGAAAAAAAAAAACAUUGAAGAAUCAAGUUUUUUCCAUCUGGACAGAUUAUUAUUUUUUCCUGUUGCAUUAAUCAUCGCUGAAAAUAAUGAAGUUCUGAUUAAUUCGUUACCGAUAAUGCGGAGAAAUUCUUUUGUGAUGGCUAUGUCAAUAGCUCAUAGGAAUAGAAAUGAUUUUUAAUGCUGUUUUUAUUCGAAUGAUGCCAUUGAUUUUUAUUGUUCAUUAGAUCGUCGAUUGUAACGAUUUUUUGACGGAAAUUUUAUGAGACAUUCGAGAAUUUGUCGAUGUUGAAAAUUAUGGGGUUCUUGAAAAUUCUUGAUGAGAGAAAUUAAAUUGUUAAUGAUAUUUGAUUUUAACGCUCGUGUGAGCGUUGGAAAUUGGAAACUAAACUAGGGAACACUAAAUUUUCAUUCAUAUCUCAUUAAAUAAUGUUUGAAGAGUUAUAUUUAAAAAACACGGGUAAAUGGUCACUAUUUAAUUUUAUAGAACGACAAACUGUCGUCACAUUUUGAAACCGCGCUUCCUCUCAAUCAAAAACCACCAUUUUCUUCACUAUUUUUAUUAUUUAUGAUGAAAAUAUAUGCAAAAAAUCAAUUUUUAAAAUCACAUUUUUAGUGAACAAAAUUACAAUCAUCAGUGAGAUCUUUAAAUAUCUUAAAAACUAGUUGAAAAAUAAAUUUAAUGAAAAUGAUUUUUUCUUCCACAAAUACCCCAGAAAAUUACAAUAAUGGUAUUAUUCAAAUCUGAAACAUCUCCAUUGGAAUCUUGAUAUUAAAUGCUUAAAUUUUACUCCCCAAAUCCGGAAAAAAACUCCUUAUUUUUGAAGAAAAACUGAUAAUUUUAAAAAAUACCAGUUAUUUUUAUAAAUAAUCUCCGAAUCAGAUAUCGAACAAUUCUUAUUCCCUUAUACACAACUGUUAAAAGAAAAUUGCGUAAGACGAGACUUGAAUAACAUGAAUUCAGAUUCCUGACUUCCUUUGAAAUUGAAAAAAAUUUCGAAAUUUUCAAGCACCAAAAAAUCCUUGAAAAUCCCCAAAGAAAAUUGAAAACUGCCUCGAACUUAAAAACAAAAAACACAUUUCCUAACAUGAUAAGCUCGUCAGCUGAAGUGGCAAGGUCACGAGGUAGGCGGCACAUCACAACAUAACACAAUAGUUAUUUUGGCAGAUCUAUCUCCACUGGCGUCAGUCUUACCGAGCCAUACUGAGUCAUAUUCAUCAAGUGCCCCAGCACAUUUAUCCGUCACACCGGUCUCGCCAGCCAAGAAAUACUCAAAAAUUUCAUUGGACCAACGCCUCCCCUAUAUCACCAGGAAAUUGUGAAUUGCAUAAAAGUGAUUCGUAACAGUUGGAGAAUCUCUCGAGGGAAUUUUUCGUCUUUGAAUCACCAAACAAAAAUUCUAUUUUCGUGGGCAGAGAUUCUUCUCCUCUGGUUUGAACAGAUAUGACCCAGUUGAAAUCAAAUUUAGACUUUAGCCUCCGUCUUGGAUAUCAGAGUCAGAAGGUGGGGGUGGGGGGUGAAUAUCAUCUUGCCAAAAAAGCCGAUGAACAGGGGAAUAUUAACUGAUGUAUUACUAUUCUCGUCUUCGACGAUUGCAUGACCGAUCAUUUGGUAUUAAAAAGAAAUAAAUCGGGUGAUGAGUAACGGGACUCAAUUAAUAUAAUCGUGACAUGAGAUAAUGUAUAUUUUACUUGACAAUAGAUUGACAUUUGUAUAACAAUAAUACGUGUAUAAUAUUUACAAAAUAAAUAAAAUUAUGGUAAACCGUAUGUCAGGUGACUGCGUAUAGUUGAUGAAUGAUGAUUGGGGGUGGGGAGGGGUCGGGAUGGGCAAAGCUGUUGUUCGAGUUUGCUUUUUUUUCUGAUAAAAAAGAAACUCGGGUAUUUGAUGAUGCUGGGUGCUGAGGGCCGACGGGGACGAGAUGUUCCGCGCCUUGCAGAAAUAGAGCGUCGCGAUACCCAAUGACGGGGUCCUCUCUAUCGUUGGAUUUCCGGGCUUUUUCCCUCUUACCGAUCCUAGGAUGGCCGUUUCGUUUGUCAUUGGUUGAACGAAAUGCUUGGUUUCAGUCUCUCGGCUGCCUGUUCAGUUUUCCUUAUUGAGGGAUCCAGUUGAUGGGGGAAGAGAAGUGUCAUGGUGGUCAGGUAAUCACGCUGCAGCGGGGAGUAUGGCAUCCCCGUUGGCCGAUGUCCUCGACGGCCUGUCAAGGUCGGUGUUGAGGG